ACCCGAAAAAGGCAAACCAUCCUAAAGGGUGGGGCGCAAAGCUUCUGGCCUAAGUCCCAAUGAGGGAUACGGCAGCAGGGCUACCGGG
rnacentral:ncRNA from 1 species